rnacentral:tRNA from 1 species
GCAUAGCUCAGUUGGUUAGAGCGUCGGAUUGUGGUUCCGAAGGUCGAGGGUUCGAGACCCUCUGUU